GACGAACGCUGGCGGCGUGCUUAACACAUGCAAGUCGAGCGGUAAGGCCCUUUCGGGGGUACACGAGCGGCGAACGGGUGAGUAACACGUGGGUGACCUGCCCUCAGCUCUGGGAUAAGCCUGGGAAACCGGGUCUAAUACUGGAUAUGACUCCAUGACGCAUGUUGUGGGGUGGAAAGCCUUGUGCGGCUGAGGAUGGGCCCGCGGCCUAUCAGCUUGUUGGUGGGGUGAGGCCUACCAAGGCGACGACGGGUANCCGGCCUGAGAGGGCGACCGGCCACACUGGGGACCUG
rnacentral:rRNA from 1 species